UACGAAGGGGGCUAGCGUUGCUCGGAAUCACUGGGCGUAAAGCGCACGUAGGCGGAUCUUUUAAGUCAGGGGUGAAAUCCUGGAGCUCAACUCCAGAACUGCCUUUGAUACUGGCGAUCUUGAGUCCGGGAGAGGUGAGUGGAACUGCGAGUGUAGAGGUGAAAUUCGUAGAUAUUCGCAAGAACACCAGUGGCGAAGGCGGCUCACUGGCCCGAUACUGACGCUGAGGCACGAAAGCGUGGGGAGCAAACAGGG
rnacentral:rRNA from 1 species